ACGACCUUACUUGAACAGGAUCUGUUCUAUAGGCUCGUACCGUUGCAUCCUUUACCGUAAAGGAGGCAAGCACUCAAGCCUGGUUGAUGAGACCAAUGACCUUCUGGGCCAGAGCGUGAUUAACGGCCAGGAUUGCUCCUCUGAUCGGAAGCAUCCGACGGCUGUAGAGGAUCGUUCCUACCUGGGUUACUCCGCGUAGGGUUGGCUCAGAGGUGGUCUGACAGGCU
rfam:Oryza brachyantha chromosome 8, whole genome shotgun sequence.